rnacentral:rRNA from 1 species
GGAAUUAAAUACCCCGGUAGCCCAUGCCGUAAACGAUGGGUACUAGGUGUUGGAGGAUUCUACCCCUUCAGGGCCGCAGCUAACGCAUUAAGUACCCCACCUGGGGAGUACGAUCGCAAGGUUGAAACUCAAAGGAAUUGACGGGGGCCCGCACAAGCGGGGGAGCAUGUGGUUUAAUUCGACGCAACGCGAARAACCUUACCUGGGCUUGACAUACAGGGGACAGGUGUAGAAAUACAUCCUUCUUCGGACUCCUGUACAGGUGCUGCAUGGCUGUCGUCAGCUCGUGUCGUGAAAUGUUAGGUUAAGUCCUGCAACGAGCGCAACCCUUGUCUUUAGUUGCCAACACGUAAUGGUGGGAACUCUAGAGAGACUGCCGGUGAUAAACCGGAGGAAGGUGGGGACGACGUCAAGUCAUCAUGGCCCUUACGCCCAGGGCUACACACGUGCUACAAUGGUCGGUACAAAGGGCUGCAAUACAGCGAUGUGGAGCGAAUCCCAAAAAGCCGGCCUCAGUUCGGAUCGGAGUCUGCAACUCGACUCCGUGAAGUUGGAAUCGCUAGUAAUCGCGUAUCAGAACGACGCGGUGAAUACGUUCCCGGGCCUUGUACACACCGCCCGUCAAGUCAACCGAGUUGGCUGCACCCCAAGUCGCUGAGCUAACCUCUUCGGAGGAAGCAGGUGCCCAAGGUGUGGUUAGCGAGGGGGACUAAGUCGUAACAAGGUAGCCGUA